UAUAACACCUGGAAAGGUAAUAAAAUCUCAUGCAUGUAGUAGAAUUUGCAAUAAUAAUGAAUAUGUUGCAGUCCUCAAGUGGCUCUGGUUUGCUUCUUUCCCUUGAUUGAACAUAACAAUGAUAUUGAGUUAAAGGGCAAUCUUAAUCAUUGUUGCAUACAAAUUUUACGUGCAUUAGUGCUUUGGAAAGUUUUGUCAAGAGAGAAUGAUGCCUAGAUCUGUGCUCAAGAUGCAAUUUUACUUACUUUGCAUUCAUAUCUGGUGUGCAAGUUUGGGAGUAUAUGCAUAAAUGAUUUCAAAAAUAGCAUGCUACUCUCGCAUUGCACUAAAAUUUAUGUCAGUGAUGUGGAAUGUUUUAAAUGGGCUGCUUGUAUCAAUUCUUUAUGCAAUAUGGGCGACGCCUGUAUUGACCCCACACUGCCUCUUGUACACCACACCUGUCCUGGCUGCAUUCCUGGAUGCUAAGGGGAUAAAAUGUUUUCCCAGUCACUUCAUUG
rnacentral:misc_RNA from 1 species